GCCCAAAAUACAAGCCAACAAGAUACACCAAAUCCACUACAACCUUUAAACCAAAACAUUUGCCCCGAUCAGUAAAUGCGAUUGAACCUCACCAUCAGCCUUAUAAGUACCGCAAGGGAACAAUGAAAGAACAAUGAAAAACUUUAAGCACAACACAGUAAAGAUAAACCCCUGUACCUCCUGCAUCAUGGUUUAGCAAAUCAUCCCCAGACAAAGUGAAACUUAAGCCUGCCCCCCCGAAACCAAGCGAGCUAUUUUCAGGCAGCCAUUAAAAAGAGCACACCCGUCCCUGUAGCAAAAGGGUGGGAAGACCUAAAAAUAGAGGCAAAAAGCCAACCGAGCUUGGUAAUAGCUGGUUACUCAACAAAAGAAUUUUAGUUCAACUUUAGGCACUAUAUAAUCAACACUAAAGAUUCUCUCCUUCCUAAACCUAAAGAAAAUCAAUGGGGGUACAGCCCCAUUGAACCGGAAUACAGCCCGAACUGAGAGGAACUUUUUUCCCCCCCCCUUUUUUAGUAGGCUUCAAAGCAGCCACCAAAAACCGCGUUACAGCAUCUUCCCAAACAAUUCCAACAACUUAUUUACCCUCCCGAACCACCCUGAGUCAUCCUAUAUCUUUAUAGAAAUAACAAUGCUAAAAUUAGUAAUAAGAAAUUUUUAUUUCUCUCCGCACCCCUUUAAGCCAGAAUAGAAAAACUACUGACAAUUAACAAAUACUGACCUCAACUUAACUAGCUAUAAUGUCACCUAAAUCUGUUACCCCAACACAGGAGUGCAAGAAAGAAAGACUAAAAACCGUAAAAGGAACUCGGCAACAAUCUAGUCCCAACUGUUUACCAAAAACAUAGCCUUUAGCUUUACAAGUAUUAAAGGUCCCGCCUGCCCAGUGACUCUUUAAACGGCCGCGGUAUCCUAACCGUGCAAAGGUAGCAUAAUCACUUGUCCCCUAAAUAGGGACUGGAAUGAACGGCUAAAUGAGGACUAAACUGUCUCUUACGGACUGGCCAAUAAAAUUAAUCUUCCAGUACAAAAGCUGGAAUAAACCCAUAAGACGAGAAGACCCUGUGGAGCUUCAAAACCAAACCAUAAAACAUGCCUCCUGGUUUUUUAGUUGGGGCGACUUCGGAGCAAAAAAAAACCUCCAAAACAAAAACUUCAUUCAUCAAGAUUAACACACCAAAAAAUCAUAAAAGAUCCAGCAUAUAGCCCAGAACUAUUUGUCUGACCAAUGAACCAAGUUACCCCAGGGAUAACAGCGCCAUCCCCUUCUAGAGUCCCUAUCGACAAGGGGGUUUACGACCUCGAUGUUGGAUCAGGACACCCCAAUGGUGCAGCCGCCAUUAAAGGUUCGUUUGUUCAACGAUUAAAGUCCUACGUGAUCUGAGUUCAGACCGGAGUAAUCCAGGUCGGUUUCUAUCUAUGCGGCACUAUCCUCAGUACGAAAGGACCAAGAUAGUGGGACCAAUACCAAAAGAACGUCCUAAUUAAACUAUUGAUUAUCACUAAAACACUCAUACCACCACCCCAACCCAAAAUCUAGGGCUU
rnacentral:rRNA from 1 species